CCUAGUACAAUGCGACACUACUGUCGAACUUGUGACAUUAAACAAAGUGCUUAGUGGGAGACAACCCACCCUUUUUUCUUUUUGUUAUUUUUCUUACACUCUAUUUUUCCCUUCUUUGAUUUUCUUCUUUAUUUUGUUUGCUCCCCUCUUAUUGAUUCUUUGCAGUCACUCUUGUUGUUUCUAGUAACUAACUUAGACAUACUGGAUACUGACAAAC
rnacentral:lncRNA from 1 species